rnacentral:misc_RNA from 1 species
CUGUGGGCUCUCGUCCUGCUGGUAG